GUUGAUCAACACUUCAUUCAUUAAACGUGUAUACGUUUAAGUUGUGGCAACCUCACGUGCCUGUCGUUAAACGACAAAAAUAUUUUAGCAUACUUGGUCUUCGAUUGAAAACCAUACCAAUAUAACUCGGUAAACAUAAAUCAUGCUUGACAGAAUCAUAAUAUAAGUCUAGCCAAAAGAGUUGGCUUUAGACUUCAUCGUUAAAAACUUCAUACGAAAGAAUACAUGAAUUACAAAACUUGUCCAGACUGAACUGGAACAAGGGUUAGAAUACUUGCCUUUAGCGUCUGCUUACUGAUUAACACUUGUACACUUUAAG
rnacentral:lncRNA from 1 species